GCGUCCAUAGCUCAGCCGGUUAGAGCGUCUGCUCGACACGCAGGAGGUCAGAGGUUCGAGUCCUCUUGGACGCACCA
rnacentral:tRNA from 1 species